AGCGAACGCUGGCGGCAGGCCUAACACAUGCAAGUCGAACGAAGUCUUCGGACUUAGUGGCGGACGGGUGAGUAACACGUGGGAACGUACCUUUUGGUUCGGAACAACUCAGGGAAACUUGAGCUAAUACCGGAUGAGCCCUUAGGGGGAAAGAUUUAUCGCUGAAAGAGCGGCCCGCGUUAGAUUAGCUAGUUGGUGAGGUAAAGGCUCACAAAGGCUACGAUCGAUAGCUGGUCUGAGAGGAUGAUCAGCCACACUGGGACUGAGACACGGCCCAGACUCCUACGGGAGGCAGCAGUGGGGAAUCUUGCGCAAUGGGCGAAAGCCUGACGCAGCCAUGCCGCGUGAAUGAUGAAGGUCUUAGGAUUGUAAAAUUCUUUUACCAGGGACGAUAAUGACGGUACCUGGAGAAAAAGCCCCGGCUAACUUCGUGCCAGCAGCCGCGGUAAAAC
rnacentral:rRNA from 1 species